UACGGAGGGUGCAAGCGUUAAUCGGAAUUACUGGGCGUAAAGCGCACGCAGGCGGUCUGUCAAGUCGGAUGUGAAAUCCCCGGGCUCAACCUGGGAACUGCAUCCGGAACUGGCAGGCUUGAGUCUCGUAGAGGGGGGUAGAAUUCCAGGUGUAGCGGUGAAAUGCGUAGAGAUCUGGAGGGAUACCGGUGGCGAAGGCGGCCCCCUGGACGAAGACUGACGCUCAGGUGCGAAAGCGUGGGGAGCAAACAGG
rnacentral:rRNA from 1 species